rnacentral:lncRNA from 1 species
AGAACAUUCAAGAUACAGGUAGAGAGGCUAUACCAUGGGUGUAUGGAAGAGUUAUUUGGAAGUAAACAGCAUUUGGAAGGGUUCUUCAAUAUUACAUUAGGAAGGUUUAAGAAUACUGAAGGUGGCAGAGUCAUUUUGAGGCACAGGUAAAAUUAGAGAUUUGUCUAAUAUAGAUACUUCCGUGAGCAGCCCAAGCCCCUCUUCACUGACAAGUUCUACCUCACCUUAACCGAGGGCAUUGCUCUUUCAGACAGACCACCUUGCAAAGGACAGCUGCAUACUCAACCUGCCGCUGUUUCUCCUGGAGGCCAACCUGGUGACCUUCCUCUUCCCUCUGGACCGCCUGAGAAGGGCGGCAGAAAAGGAGAUGGUGACAAGAUGCCUCUGCACAACCUCGCCAUGGUUUUGGCCCCAUGAUGCUCUGGCUUUCUAGUCUUCAUUGCUUUGUCUCCAACUCAAGCAUAGUUUUUGUUUGUUUGUUUGUUUGUUUUACUCAUUCUUGAGAGGAAGCCAUUAGCUUUCUUUGGAUGCUUUGUCAUUUAUCUUAUGUGACUACACCAGUUAAUCAAAGGAUCACUUGCUGCUCUUCUUCCACUAAAACAACACCCACUUCAUGCUCAUUGUCUAAAGUGGGGGCAUCAUUUGUAACUACAGAUACUAAUUGUGGGGAUCCCAGGUUUAUUAUGUGGGAGAGACUGAGACUCCCCUCAUCUGUCCCCUGAGGAGGGUUCAUAGGUGAGUGAGAAAGGGACAAGGCAGCGAUGUGGACAUCUCCCCACAUUGCCCAAGGGGCAUUGCUUCCUAGUGAGGAAACUCUCGCUGCAGUUUUCUGGCAGGGAAAUAAUACAAUCUCCAGAUCAUUUAUCAAUUUUGUUUUUUUUAAAUAAAUAUUUUGCCAUUAUUAGAUGAGUAUAUAAAAAAUAAAUAAUAUGGAUUUAUCUUGCAGUGUACCAUUUAACUCCAUCCCAAAAUAGAUCUAUUAUCUUCUCUUUUGUUCAAUGAAUACUAUUCAUACCUAGGCAAAACUGUUGCUGUUACUCAUGAUUUAAGGGCAUUAGGAAUACAACUCUAGGGAAAAAAUACUGCUAUUGGAAACCAAAAAGAGUGUCUGGGACAGGUGUCAAUCUAUUUAGAGGUUUUUUUCACCAAGGUUGAGGAUGCACCCGGGAAAAAGAGACACAAGCCACAGUGGAAUCUGUGGCCUGCACUUUUUCCAAAGAGUUUUGAGGGUUUCAAUAUUUAUAGGGGAAAAAGCAGGCCAAAGGGAAAGGAAAGAAGACAAAAAGGGGAGAGUAGAAAAAAUGAGACAAGUGGUCUCAUUGUCUUGAGGCUUUCAUUAGUUCUCACUGAAGCCACAGGUUGCCCAUGAAAAGGAGGGGGUAGAGGAACAGCUGAUUAUGUGCUCGCCUGGCACUGGUAAGGCUGCACCUCACAUGAGAUAAAGCAAACAUAGAGUAGAGGAAGCAUCAACAUGCAUUUGUCUUGGGGUGGUGGUAGGAAUAUUUCUAGUUUCCUUUUGUCCUGUAUCCCUGAAGAUAAGUUGCUAAUUUACAUGGUCAGGGUGAGGGAGGUAACCUGGAAAGAUAUGUUUAGGAACAAAAGGAAAGAUGGUUUCUGGGUGUGACUCAGUUUCCAAGUUUAACUUUCCCUUUUGGCAUAGCGAGUUUGGGGUCCCAACAUUUUAUUUUCCUUUUACACUAUUGACUACUAACAGUCUUUGUUGUUAAAUUCCAUCUGUUUUAAAAUUUUAAUAAAAUAUUUAUAUCAUAAAAUAUAAAUUAUUCACUUAUAAGAUUAAUAUAAAUAAUAUUAACAAAACAUUGUCUUGAAAAAUGUAGUUUGACAAAGUUUCAAUCUGAGUAAAAGAUAGUAUCUUAAAUACAGUAUUUUUUCACUGCUGGUGAGAGAGAAUCUAAACUUUCUGUGAAGACUAAGAAAGUCUCACAUUCUUGGUGCACGCCAGGAAGCCCCGUGUUCCUUGGAUGUGGAGGAGUUGAACAUGAAGGAGCUGGCUGUGAUGUCAGCAUGUGAAGGUGGAGGAACUCCAGCCCAGGAGGGGCUCCUGGAUCCACCCGCCCCAGAUGGACUCGAGGUGGGGAAGGCAGCCUGGAGGCUUGGGAGGCCUGAGUAGAGAGGAGGGAACAGCGCUCCCUUAAGACCCAGGCCCACUCCCAGGGAAGGGAGCAGCAGGGCCACACUCUUGGCCACCUUGGAAGAGCUCCUUGCUGUGGGCUGAUUCCCACGACCUUGUCUAGGGAUUCCAGCAUUUUAGGUAGCUCCUCCAUUGCCUUCGUUGGUUAGAGCAUUUGGAACUUUUCUUUUUCACUUCUCGAACCAAAGAAGUUAAUUCCUUCAUCGAUACCAAGUUGGCACUCUUCACCUUUUUGUAAGCAUCUGCAAGGCUGGGAAUAUUUAAAGACUCCUUCUUUAGCCAGGCAUUCUCUAGUGCUGCCUCCAUCUCUGCAUACUCCUUUUUCAAAACACCAAGCUUCUAAAUGAAUUGAUUUUUUUCUCACAUUCUGCAGCCUGUGUUUUGUGAGUCACUUUUCAUGUCUUACAUAAAGUCAGCUUCUAACAGAUUCAACAAGUCUGAACAAAAAUAAAAGACCUACCAAGAAGCUGAUGAGACCAGUGUCUCCCCUGAUGGCUUUGGAAAGUGAGUUGUGGACUGAAGCCAUUGGGCAGCAUCUUAUAUAUCACCUCACACAUUUCGUAAAUAUCAGCCCCAAACGAAGUUUCACAGAAGAUCCCGGCCCCUCCAUCCCUGCAACCAUGGAUUCUGCACCACAACAAACCCUGGGGAACACCUCAGCAUUCCACCUGGAAUCAACCAGGAACAGGCAGCCUAUACUAGUCAGUUUCAUGGUCACCAUCAAGGAGGAUUAGUAAAUAAACAUGCUUGUCUCCUUACUGUCUAGUAAUCAGUCUUCUUUACCUGUUUCUUAUUGUAUGUGUAUCAACAGACAAUUAAAAUAUAGUGAAAGGUGCCAAUCUUAAGUGUAUAGCUUGAAUAAGCCUUUAAAAUGUUAUACCCCCACUGCGUCCUGCAACCCUAUCAAGGUAUGAGUCCUGUGUAUCAACACAGAAAUCCCCCCCAGUUCCUUUCCAAUCAGUGUCCACUCGCCCUGACUCACGCAGCCUUGGAGAAGGUUGCUCUGAACACAUCCCAGUUGAGCCUCAGCAUCAAGGUCAUGGAAUCAAUUACAAUGUGCUUUCUGAUCUCUGCCUGCUUUGCUCAAAGUGUUUUUGAAACUUAUCUGUUCU